GGUAAUUUGUGUGUGAUCACCUAUAUCUUUAUUCGCUAUAUGACGGUAGUGACAAAAGUGGCUCAGCAUCAUUAUGGAGGAUAUCAUGAUGAACUAGAGGUGGACGAGGAGGAAGUAGAAAAAGAUGAAGACGAUGAUGAUGAAAAGGAGAAGAAAGAGGAGGAGGAGGGGAGGAAACUCGUUGAUCAGAAACUCCAAUGAAUGUGAAAAAGUUCAAGUUUUGUUUCCUUGGAAACAAAAUAGUAAUUUAGAUUCUUAUUUACUUUAUAUGUAGUCUAUUGUUGGUUAAAAAAAAGUAUCCAUGGUCUUUUUAUUUGAUUUCAAUUGUAGUUUUUAAGUUGGUGAAAAAACAAUAUGCAGGGUUUUUAUGUUUGAUUUAGUUAUUGAGUCUAAUUUGGAUUGUCUCUAGAGCUGGAGGCCUAUUGUUCAAUGUAAGUCUAGAUCGAAAUGCGUAAAUCUUCUAUUUUGCAGACAAGUUCUAUUUUAUAUAGAGUCCAGGUUCGUAUGACCAACUAUCAGGCCUGUAUUUCUUUUAUUUUGAA